CGCCUCUUGAUUCAAUAUAAGAGGUCCAGCCUGCCCAGUGACUCUGUUUAACGGCCGCGGUAUCCUAACCGUGCGAAGGUAGCGUAAUCACUUGUUCUUUAAAUAAGGACUAGUAUGAAUGGCACCACGAAGGUUAUACUGUCUCCUUUUUCUAAUCAGUGAAACUAAUCUCCUCGUGAAGAAGCGAGGAUAUAAAUAUAAGACGAGAAGACCCUAUGGAGCUUUAAACUAUGUUACACUUAUUAUUAUCAUUUGAACUUCAGAGAAAUUAAAAACAAUUUAAUAAGAUGAUUUCUAGUUUUAGGUUGGGGUGACCGCGGAGAAAAAAACAACCUCCAUGCUGAAUAAUACUUUUAUUUAAGCCAUGAAUUACAAUUCUAAGCAUCAAUAUUUUGACAUCUAUUGACCCAAUGUUUGAUCAACGAACCAAGUUACCCUAGGGAUAACAGCGCAAUCCACUUCAAGAGCUCAUAUCGACAAGUGGGUUUACGACCUCGAUGUUGGAUCAGGGUAUCCCAGUGGUGCAGCCGCUACUAACGGUUCGUUUGUUCAACGAUUAAAACCCUA
rnacentral:rRNA from 1 species